rnacentral:lncRNA from 1 species
GGUUCGUGUUGUUUAUUCUUUAGUUUUCUAUGUUGUGUCGUGUGUGCUGUUGUUUGUUUGUCUUUUUCAUUUUUAGCCAUGGCGUUGUCAGUUGUUUUAGAUUUAUGAGUUUGACUGUCCCUUUGGUAUCUUUCGUCCCUCUUUUUCCUCUACAAAAUAGGAUUUGCGAUGUCUGAAGGUAGAAAACAGUUCAGACCGUAGCUGAGGACCGUAAUAUGCGAGUUUCCUUAUAG